AGUGGUACCAGACAGGUACAGUCUCUGGUGCAGGGUGGAUAAAUGACCCCAUAUGGGUAGAGAAAGUUACUGUGCUCAUUGUGACGCCCACCGCUAGCAGAAACAUGAAAACGAAAAAACUCACUCCUGAGAACUGAUGGCACUACAGAACUUGGCUGCAUCAGGUCAUAUAAUACUCUGGUAAAAACCAACACCCCGGGGAAGUUUAUUUUCAACAGUGUGUACUACCAACCUUUGACUGAAGUCAAUAUUGUGGAUGGUCAGUACGAUGAGUAUGUUAUCGUCCAAAAAAAAAGUACCAUGAAUCAAAACGUCACCUUCAACCUUGAGCUCUACACCCGUAAGCCUGUGGUCAGUCUGGAAGUUAAGAAUAAGUUCCGUCAGAUUGCUCUCAAGCAGCAAUUUGCCCCUGAGAAAACCAUCUUCCUCCCUUACAAGGGUGAAUGCGAUUGAGGAGUCGACUCUGAUGUCUGACCUCUGACCUCUACGGAAAUCAUCACUAUGGCUGCACACAGAUAAAUUACACUCGACCUCCUGAUCAGAGUUUCAGUUUCUCCUUCCUAAAGCAGGAGUUUAAACAUUUCAACUAAUCCACAGCUUCAAGCAAUAAAACAUGA